rnacentral:rRNA from 1 species
UAGGGAAUCUUCGGCAAUGGGGGGAACCCUGACCGAGCAACGCCGCGUGAGUGAAGAAGGUUUUCGGAUCGUAAAGCUCUGUUGUUAAGGAAGAACGAGUGUGAGAAUGGAAAGUUCAUACUGUGACGGUACUUAACCAGAAAGGGACGGCUAACUACGUGCCAGCAGCCGCGGUAAUACGUAGGUCCCGAGCGUUGUCCGGAUUUAUUGGGCGUAAAGCGAGCGCAGGCGGUUAGAUAAGUCUGAAGUUAAAGGCAGUGGCUCAACCAUUGUAGGCUUUGGAAACUGUUUAACUUGAGUGCAGAAGGGGAGAGUGGAAUUCCAUGUGUAGCGGUGAAAUGCGUAGAUAUAUGGAGGAACACCGGUGGCGAAAGCGGCUCUCUGGUGUGUAACUGACGCUGAGGCUCGAAAGCGUGGGGAGCGAACAGG